rnacentral:rRNA from 1 species
AUUGAACGAUGGCGGCAGGCCUAACACAUGCAAGUCGAACGAGUGGCGGACGGGUGCGUAAUGUCUGGGAAACUUCCAGAUUAAGGGGGAUAAAUACUGGAAACGGUAGCUAAUAACGAAUACCAUCGGUCGUGCCCAGAUGGGUUUAGCGAGUAGGUGGGGUAACGGCGCACCUAGGCAACGAGCCCUAGCUGGUCUGGCAUGAUGACCAGCCACACUGGAACUUAGACACGGUCCAGACUCCUACGGGAGGCAGCAGUGGGGAAUAUUGCACAAUGGGCGCAAGCCUGAUGCAGCCAUGCCGCGUGUAUGAAGAGGGCCUUCGGGUUGUAAAGUACUUUCAGCGAGGAGGCGUUACUCGCAGAAGAAGCACCGGCUAACUCCGUGCCAGCAGCCGCGGUAAUUC